rnacentral:rRNA from 1 species
AGCUCCAAUAGCGUAUAUUAAAGUUGUUGUGGUUAAAAAGCUCGUAGUUGGAUCUCAACAGCCUUGCAGCGGUUCACUUUGUAGUUUUACUGCUUUGUAGGCUGUGCUUUUGCUGGAGGUUUAGGGGUGCUCUUGAUCGAGUGUCUCUGGAUGCCAGCAGGUUUACUUUGAAAAAAUUAGAGUGCUCAAAGCAGGCUAAAAUGCCUGAAUAUUCGUGCAUGGAAUAAUAGAUAAGAAGUCUGUCUUAAUUUGUUGGUUUUCGGGAACCGAAAUAAUGAUAAAUAGGGACAGUCGGGGGCAUUCGUAUUCAAACGACAGAGGUGAAAUUCUUGGACCGUUUGAAGACAAACUACUGCGAAAGCAUUUGCCAAGAAUGUUUUCA